GAGGCUCAGUGGAAGAGCAACUGCCUUAUAUGCAGGAAGUCCAAGGUUUGAUCCCCAGGAUCUACA